GGACUGAAUUGUGGAGCUGACUGCUGAGUCAGUCAGCGUUCGCAGAGGAUGGGGCGCAUGAAGAGGCUCCACGGGAAGUAGCUACAAGCCACUUGUGGUUCCUGAGCACUUGAUUGUGGCCAACUCCACACUGAGAUGUGCUGAACGUGAAUAACGGGCCCUGGGUUUCAAUGAUGACAAGAAAAACGACAGAAAAUGCCUUGUUACGUUUUUCUAGUGGUUCCCUUUGGUACAUAUUGUGUAAAAUAAAUUAUUAAAACUCA